GAAUAUUGGACAAUGGGCGAAAGCCUGAUCCAGCGACGCCGCGUGGGUGAAGAAGGCCUGCGGGUUGUAAAGCCCUUUCGGUAGGGAAGAAAAGUUUCGGCUUAAUACGCCGGGACCUUGACGUAACCUACUAAAGAAGCACCGGCUAACUCUGUGCCAGCAGCCGCGGUAAUACAGCGGGUGCGAGCGUUAAUCGGAAUUACUGGGCGUAAAGCGCGCGUAGGCGGCUUCGCAAGUCGGAUGUGAAAUCCCCGGGCUUAACCUGGGAACUGCAUUCGAGACUGCGUUGCUAGAGUAUGGGAGAGGGAAGUGGAAUUUCAGGUGUAGCGGUGAAAUGCGUAGAUAUCUGAAGGAACAUCAGUGGCGAAAGCGACUUCCUGGACCAAUACUGACGCUCAUGUGCGAAAGCGUGGGGAGCAAAC
rnacentral:rRNA from 1 species